rnacentral:sRNA from 1 species
AAGCCAUGAUGGGGACAUGCAUUGCAAAUAUCCUUGUACCUAUCCCAUGCCUCCCAAAAGGUCUCAUGAUCACGUUGAGUGAAGAGUAAGAGCUCAUGUCUCAUGCUAGUGGUCUUGUGUGGUGGGUAGUAAGCAUCCAAGAAAAUGUCCGUCAACUCCUCCCAUGAUCGUAUACUCCUCGGUUGUAGC